CAUAAAUACUAGGUGUGUGUGUGUGUGUGAGAGAGAGAGAGAGAGGAAGGAGAAGGAGGAAGAAAGAAAUGGAAGAAAGUAAUACUGCAAGUGAGGAAGUGUCUACUUCUUACCUCCACCCAUGCUCUUUGCUUCAGUGCUUUUUGAGAGCUUGCCUUGGUUGCUUCGGCUUCUGCGAUCCUUCUAGUGAUUGCUUCGGCUUCUGCGAUCCUUCUAGUGACAAUGGAAAGCAAGAUCAAGAUGAUGGACACACGAUUCAACCUCGAUCCAGGAGGCCUCCAAGGACCAAACCAAACCCAGGUCCAGGUGGUCAGAUCAACGCUCAACAAUCCUAGCUAGUCAGCCAUUUCGUGUGUAAAUUAAUUCCUAUUUAUAUGAGACGAAGUUUGAGAGCGUGGUUGUUAUGAUGGAGUGUGAUUGUGUAGUGCGUACCGGUACUCUUGUAAAAUUUUUGUGUUUGUUGUAGUUUUCCCCCUUCCUUCAAGUUUUGAGCUCUUUAUAGUUAA